rnacentral:misc_RNA from 1 species
UGGUGGAAAUGCACAAUGUUGUCAAAUUUUGAUUGCCAGGGGUGCCGAUCUGACUGCUGAAAAUGCAAAUGGGUAUGCAUCUACUAUGUUUACCGCUCACAUGUUCAAAUUUACAAUGUUCAUGACAUGUAGUUAUUUGCAUUUUCAUCCUUCUUCUUUAGAAGUAAUCUCUGUGGAGAAACCUAAUACUGUGUAUGUGCUGAGAGAUUGAGGCAUUAUUCGGUAUUCACAGAGAUUUUUAUUUUUGGAUGAAACAAUGAUUUAGUUAAAAACAAAAAAGGAUAUCCCCCACAAUAAAUCCAUCUGGUUGGACAUCUGGAUUCUGGACAUUGGAGAUUUGCCAGGCAAAUAGAGAUUUAGUUCACUCCUGCAGAAUAAAAUGUUCAGUCUGGAGGAGGCCUAAAGUAAGGCAUAUGGAUUUCUUCUUCACAUUUCCAGUUUGAUCUUUAUAUCUUAAUAACUUCACUUAUCUUCAUGAUAUCUUGAAUCAGAACAUAUUCUUUAUUCAUAGCUUCUUAGUGGACACAGUUAGAAAUUGAUUGCUUUAGAAUACACCUACACAUUGGUCUUUGUAGAUUAUCCUGUCUCCAGCUGCUGCGCCAAGUUUAAAUAUCUUUGAUUGAACUUAUCUUCCAUUUAUAACGUGUUAGCUGAAGUAGGGAGGGCACCAGAUGGUUUCCAUUGAUUAUUGAAAUUCUUGGCACUAGAUGGUAUGGGUACCUUACCUCUCAAGGAGAAAGGGACUAGAGAAAAGUAGACCACUUAAGUCCUGAAAAGAGCAGCACAAUGUUGUUAGGGCGUGCCUCAGGUGCAAGGCACAUAGGACUCCAACCCUAACACCACUGCUAGUGAAAGACAGGUGAGUUUUAAUGGCCACAUGCCUAAUGGGCCUAGGCAUACUCGUUGUUCUUGGCAUGCUCCUUGUUCUUGGCGCGCUCCUUGUUCUACGUGCAAAGAUCUGGAAAGGCACACCUUCCUAAUUUUCAUCUCGGGUGAGUGCUUCAGUUGGCAAAAGACAACCACACUAGACUUGGAAUUUUUUGAUUUACCAUAUCCAAUGUUAAUGGGCCAAAAAGUUGCCAAAAUCUCAUUGAGCCACCACAACCAGAAUAUAUAGCUCAAACCUGUGGCCCCAAGAAUAAGUUCUAAUAUCUUUAACACGUCCCCUUGCCUAAAUACCAUUGGGUUUGUAUUAAUAAGAGGGAGGCUCUUAGAAUUUGAAAUUGAAUUCUAUACCUUUUGAUUAAAGCAUGGAUUUAAAUCAUGGUCACCGUUGUGGAUAAUGGAAACGAGCUAGUAACGGUCGAAAUGUAAUGGUAACGGCCUAUCACUCA